GAUGGGGGUCACUAGCAGGAACCAGUGGCGUAACUAGAGUGCGCCAGCCCCCCUUGCAAAAAAAUCUCCAGAGGUGCCCUGUCGCAUUCCGAUCCCCAUCUUCCUGCCUACGUCACAUCUCGCUUCUGCUCGGCCCACGCCCGGUCCACUUCGCGGCCAGACUUUACUCACUCCUGUGCGACUUGCGUCCCCCUUCCUCGCCACAGAGAAACAAUCAUCUCCAUCCACUCCAGAUGUGGCAGGCCCUGAAGUAGGGGUUACAUGGAUCGCCCAUGGUGAAACCUGGCACCACAGCUCCAUCCCACAAACUCUUCUGGAAGAACAAGUUCGCUGCCAGCAACUCUUUCCAUGGUGGAGCUCAGGAUGACUUUUCAGACAGAUGACUCAAGAGCGGAAUGGCUUUGAGAUGAACUAUUUGUGUUUUCUGAUUCUGCACAUUAUCUCAAUGGCUUCCUGUUGUUCAGUCCCUCGGGACGAAUGUGUGCGCAAGGUCACAGAUGACACGGUCAAGUUUUUCAUGAGCUUGGGAGAACAACCUCCGGAUAUGAAUGUUCUUUAGGGAUACAGAUGGGCCAAUCAUAUUAAAACUAAGGCUAACUGAGGAUAAGCUGCUUAAAAUAUGCUGCAAUCUCUGGUGCUUCAGCAAAAGAAGAGUGGCCAGAUUGUUCCUCUCAAUCAAAGUCUUGGAAUAUUGGGAUACAAAUUGGAAGCUCCAUGGUAACUAAUCAUUGAAGAACCUAUUGUGGCAUCUCAGUUUGAGUAUCUGAUCACUGAUAGACUGCUAUAUAGACUUGGCCAAGUCAGCUCUGACCCUUGUGUGGCUUAUUCGAAAUCCCACCGGCACCGAUCAUUGACUGCUUCCUCACUUUCUUGUGCCUGCAAACAGGGUUCAGGAAAUGGGGUUAUCAGCAGCCUCGUCAGUGAAGCAUUUCCAGGAUAAUUGGGGGGGGGAGGUCUUGAGUGAUGGACAUUAGUUAGCAGGAUGUAUCUGUCAGAUAGCUCUCACAUGGCUGACAGGCACUGCUACCGGUAAUCAGUGAGGGCCACUCAGAUAGGGGUCUGUCAGUGCUUCUAUGGAUGCUAGUCUUUUCUGCUCUAACUGGCCCAUCAAACAGCUCUCUACACACACAAUCAUUAGUCCCUAUUCUACACCUGUACCUGUAUCAAUGAAUAUGCAAUGACACAAGAUGCAAGUAGGAGAGGUGAGGACUAAUGCUGGGAGCUGUGAAUAAAGGGUUUCUAAACCCUGGGAUUAACAAUUGCAGUGAGGAGGUGUUACUUUAGUAGGUUGCACCAAAACACACAAUUGACUAGUGUCCACAGAAUCAUACCGCUGCCAUUAUCUAUGCCAGGGAUCCCCCACCUUUUGAACCCGUGAGCAACAUUCAGAACUAAAACAAGUUGGCUAGCAUGAAAAAUGCUCUUGGAGGUGCCAAAUAAGGGCUGUGAUUGGCCAUUUAGU